rnacentral:lncRNA from 1 species
CUGAUUUGGGUAAACAAGUUCCAUUGUGUUUGCUUUACAAUUGCUUGCAUUACUUCACAGUCAUGCCUGGCUCAGGAUGCAAGAUAGGUGGUGUGACCCGAUGCACAGAAACACUGACAUCUCAGCAUUGGUCAUGAGUGCAACGGCCAGGGAAACUGUAAAUCAGCUGGGGAGUUGGGUCAGAAUGUCCCUAGGGCUGUCUGUCCCCAUCCAAGUUUGUACCCUUCCUAAGAAGGCAGGUUCCAGACUACAAGGAGGCCUUCACUAAGGAAGGGCUAACAUAUUAGCUGUCCCAUCAUGGAUACAGGCAGCCUGCUGAUUUCCUCUUUGGUGCCUGGCUUUAUAUCCUACUUCGCAUCUGGCUUACACUGAAACUGUUUUGAAAAUGCCCUAUAGGUAGACGAGCAGCUUUGCUUCUUAACACCCUAACCUGUAAUAGCCUCAGCAAGUACACAAAUUGAACUACACUAAAAAAAGAUUUUUGGUCACAAAACCCAGAGUUCCCUAUUAGCUACCUGAAUGCCUUGUUAUUAUUAUUAUUAUUAUUAUUGCAGUUGACUGUAUUGAGCAGUGCCAAGAUUACACAGCACAAGAUAUGACAAUUCUAAGCCUACCUCAUACACAGAAAGGUAGUACCAGGAGGCUUAGGGUUAAUUUUUACCUCCCCACUCCUUUCUUUUUCUUCAAUUUUUCCAUUUAAUCAACUUUUUGAAAGCACCUGGGGCAGCUGCUAGGGUUUCUAAGACUAAUGAGACAGGGGCCUUGCUCUUCUCCUUUAGUAGAUGGAAACAGAUGUGUAAAUACAUAAAUGUAAGUAUGUACAUAAUAGUAACUAUUAUCUUCAUCAGUUUAAAUACUUCUCUAGCCAUUAUUUUAUUCAGGCACUGAAUUGGAAAGAGUCCAGGAUUUGAAGUGAAUGGAUCCAAAUUCAAAAUUCUAAGUUUUUUUAAUACAAUAUUUUAUGUACUCUUGGGCAAGUCACUUAACUCCAUUGAGCUUCAGCUUCUCCACCUAUAAAAUGGGGUAUUAAUAUCUACUUUACAAGGCUGGUUUGAAGAUUAAAUGAGACAUGAUCAAGGUAAAACCACAUGUGUUCCAGGAGCCCUUAGAACACAGCUGGCUCUCAAUACAUGUAAUGCCAGUGAGUAGUAUCUUUAAUGAAUCCCUCCAGCAGAUUUGAAGUGGUCUUCACUGCCAUGAAAAUUGAAACCCAGAGGAGAAAAGUGUCUUGCUAUUGAUUCAAAUGUUACAUGUCACAUGGGAGUCUUAGUCACUUGAAGAUGAGGACAGGCCAUCAACCUGCCUCAAAGUGCCAGGAAAGUGCAUCUGAGGAACACCUCACCCAGCGGGGAAUAGGAGAAGGCUCCCUGGUGGAGAAACCUGCUAAUGGGAGAACUAAGGAAGGUCAGGGGAAAAAGGAAGUUCAGGGGGAAAAGAAGGAAAAGAGGAAAGAGAUGAAAUAAUGUCUAAGACCAAAGGACAGAGAAUGGGCAAUAACCAGAGACCAAAAAAAAAAAAAAAAAA